rnacentral:rRNA from 1 species
AUGGCGGAGUCGCCGGAGCAGUUCAGGGGCCAGUCCCGCCUCCCCCGCUUCGCCGAGCCCCUCCGCUACGACCUCGUCCUCCGCCCCGACCUCGCCGCCUGCACCUUCUCCGGCUCCGCGUCCGCCGCCGUCGCCGUGUCCUCGCCCACCCGCUUCCUCGUCCUCAACGCCGCCGAGCUCGCCGUCGACCGCUCCUCCAUCCGCUUCCAGGACUGGGCGCCGACGGAGGUGGCCCAGUUCGAGGAGGAUGAGAUCCUGGUCCUCGGGUUCGACCGGGAGCUGCCCCUCGGCGAGGGCGUGCUCGCCAUGGAUUUCACCGGCACCCUCAACGACCAGAUGAGGGGCUUCUACAGGAGCAAGUAUGAGUACAAUGGGGAGGCAAGAAACAUGGCGGUUACACAGUUUGAAGCUGCUGAUGCACGGCGGUGCUUUCCAUGCUGGGAUGAGCCUGCAUUUAAGGCCAAGUUCAAGAUAACAUUGGAGGUUCCAGCUGAACUGGUAGCAUUGUCCAACAUGCCAGUAGUUAAGGAGACAGUCUGCGGGCCUCUGAAGACUGUCUAUUAUGAGGAAUCUCCACUUAUGUCAACAUAUCUAGUCGCAAUAGUUGUUGGUUUGUUUGAUUACAUAGAGAGCUCAACGUUAGAAGGCACCAAAGUUCGUGUGUAUACCCAAGUUGGCAAGACUAGUCAAGGAAAGUUCGCAUUAGAUGUUGGGGUGAAGUCACUGGAUCUAUUCAAGGAUUACUUCGCCACUCCUUACCCACUACCUAAGUUGGAUAUGAUUGCUAUCCCUGAUUUUGCUGCUGGAGCUAUGGAGAACUAUGGGUUGGUCACUUACCGAGAAUCAGCUUUGCUUUAUGAUGAGCAAUUAUCGUCAGCAUCCAACAAACAACAGGUAGCAAUCACCGUCGCGCAUGAAUUGGCUCACCAAUGGUUUGGCAAUCUUGUAACCAUGGAAUGGUGGACUCACUUGUGGCUAAACGAGGGUUUUGCUUCAUGGGUGAGUUAUUUAGCUGUAGAAUCCAUUUUUCCUGAAUGGAAUAACUGGACACAAUUCCUUGAUGAGACGACCUCUGGCCUCAGACUGGAUGCACUCGCAGAGUCUCAUCCUAUUGAGGUUGAUGUAAACCAUGCCAGUGAAAUCGAUGCGAUUUUUGAUUCCAUAAGCUACGACAAGGGAGCUUCUGUCAUUCGCAUGCUACAAAGCUACCUUGGUGCAGAGCGGUUUCAGAAAGCUUUGGCUUCAUACAUAAAGAAGUACGCAUACUCAAACGCUAAAACCGAAGACCUAUGGGCUGUUCUUGAGGAGGAAACUGGGGAGCCUGUCAAGGAUCUGAUGACUACAUGGACUAAGCAACAAGGAUAUCCUGUUAUAUACGCAAAACUAAAUGGGCAAGAUUUGGAACUUGAGCAGGCUCAAUUUCUGUCAGAUGGAUCAUCUGGUCCUGGCAUGUGGAUCGUUCCUAUGACAGCAUGCUGUGGCUCGUACGAUCUGAAUAAGAAGUUUCUGUUGAAAGGCAAGACCGAUACGAUGCAUAUAAAAGAUUUUGCAGCCUCCCAAAGUGGCCAGAAUUUUUGGAUCAAACUGAACAUUGAUCAAACUGGAUUUUAUAGAGUGAAGUAUGAUGAUGAACUUGCAGCCGGACUUGAAAAUGCAAUAAAAGCCAAGAAACUCUCUUUAAUGGAUAUGAUUGGUAUUGUGGAAGAUUCUUAUGCCCUUUCUGUUGCUUGCAAACAAACACUGACAUCAUUGCUUCGUUUGCUAAAUGCUUAUCGUCAUGAGUCUGAUUACACUGUACUUUCACAUGUAACCUCUGUAUGUUUAAGCGUUAAUAAAAUAUCAACUGAUGCUAAUCCUGACUUGUCUAGCGAUAUCAAACAACUUUUGAUCAAGCUUCUUCUGUUAGCUGCCAAAAGAGUAGGCUGGGAUCCUAAGGAUGGUGAGAGCCAUCUUGAUGUAAUGCUUAGGUCACUGCUCUUGAUUGCCCUUGUCAAGCUCGGACAUGACGAGACUAUAAAGGAGGGAAUUCGGCGUUUCCAUAUCUUCUUAGAAGACCGAAAAACUCCCCUUCUACCUCCAGACAAUAGAAAGGCAGCAUACCUUGCUGUGAUGCGGACCGUGAGUACCUCAAACAGGACCGGUUAUGAUGUUCUCCUGAAAAUCUACAAGGAAACGUCAGAAGCACAGGAGAAGUCUCGUAUCUUAGGCUCGUUGUCUUCAUGCCCAGACAAGGAUAUUGUUGUUGAGGCAUUGAACCUUAUGCUUACAGACGAGGUACGGAAUCAAGAUGCAUUUUAUGUUCUUGGUGGUAUUAGCUUAGAAGGACGAGAAGCUGCAUGGGCCUGGCUGAAGGAUAACUGGGAUCACGUUGUUAAGACUUGGCCAUCAAGCUCACUCAUAUCGGACUUCGUUAAUUCUACCGUUUCACCGUUCACCUCUGAGGAGAAAGCUGCUGAGGUUUCCGAGUUCUUUGCCACUCGCGUGAAACCGUCAUUCGAAAGAGCGUUGAAGCAGAGCCUCGAGAGGGUGCGGAUCAGUGCUAGAUGGAUCGACAGCAUCAAGAGCGAGCCCAGCCUUGCGCAAACGGUGCAGCAGCUGCUGCUGCAGGAGUUUUAA